CUACAUUCUGAUGGAUUUGUGAUGUGAUUGUAGAUUAAAUAUUAGCUUUUGAAAACAUUUUGUAAACUCUAGAACAUGGUCAAAAAGUGUUGACCAUUAAGUGACUUUCGAUGUAUUACCUUAAUUUAUAUUAUGAGGAUCGAAAGGGAAAAUGUUUUUGUGAUCGGUGAAUAUUUCAACACAAUUUAAGUUUGUGUCAAAAAUUGUACUCGUAAAAAUUCACUAUGAUUGUACAUAAGAUAUUUCAUCCCAUAACAAUCCAAAUUUAAGGGAUGCACAAAUUAUUGGAUGCAUUAAUUACGCAAUUGUAUGUGUAACCAUUCUUCAAAUGUUUACUUAGUCAGGUCAUGGUCCCGGCAAAAACUAAAAUAAAUUGAAGUCCAUCGGCA
rnacentral:lncRNA from 1 species